AUAGCCCCACGUGCGUCACAUCGUGGGCGGUGUGGGGGGAAGCGGAUGGCAUAAAGGAGGUGGGAAGCGGUCGGAUAGCCAGUACAACGACGAGUCGAAACGUCAGCGGAUUGCGCUAGACAUAUCUACACGAUGAUGAUAUCGCUCGUAGUUUUCGCGCUGCUGUGCGGAGCCUGCAGCAUCGAGGCACUCGGCCCGCCAUUAGGCUACGCUGGCAACCAGCGACCCUUCAUGAACACGAACAUCCGGCAAGGCGAGCGUCUACCAUUUCCGUUUCCGGCUGAUUGGAAUAGCAACGACAUCUCGUACAGAGUCGAUCUUUUCGAAAGUGGCAACCAGGGCACGGGUAGAGGUCAAGGUAGAAACAUAGACGGUUUCGAGGAAACCGGACGAAGAUAUAUCGAGUUGCGUAAUCGCUAUCAGAGUAUGCAAGACGGCCGACCCCAGGUGGCGCCACCCGGCUUUCAUCGACCACUCACCGGUCGGGAAAUACGGUCAAUCCUACGGCCAGAUGGCGCUCUUUACAUUAUUGGCCACACGACGCAACGACGACGACGACGACAACAACAACAACAACAACAACAACAACAACAGCAACAACAGCAGCAUCAGCAGCAGCAGCCGAGCGGUCAGACGACGCCAGUCGUCGUCAUUCUCCCGGAAGUUAGAACGGAAGCCAUCCCUCAGCUGUACGAACUUCUCCAAAACAGCGGAUUCCUUCUCACGGGUAAGCAAC